rnacentral:rRNA from 1 species
UACGGGGGGGGCAAGCGUUGUUCGGAAUUACUGGGCGUAAAGGGCGCGUAGGCGGCCUUCUAAGUCAGACGUGAAAUCCCCCGGCUUAACCUGGGAACUGCGUCUGAUACUGGGAGGCUUGAGUAUGGGAGAGGGAUGUAGAAUUUCAGGUGUAGCGGUGAAAUGCGUAGAUAUCUGGAGGAAUACCGGUGGCGAAGGCGGCAUCCUGGACCAUAACUGACGCUGAGGCGCGAAAGCUAGGGGAGCAAACGGG